GGAGAGGUGGCCGAGCGGUUUAAGGCAACUGUCUUGAAAACAGUCGGGUGAAAGCCCCGGGGGUUCGAAUCCCUCCCUCUCCG
rnacentral:tRNA from 2 species